rnacentral:rRNA from 1 species
UAGGGAAUCUUCCGCAAUGGACGCAAGACUGACGGAGCAACGCCGCGUGAGUGAAGAAGGAUUUCGGUUCGUAAAACUCUGUUGUUAGAGAAGAACAGCGCAUAGAGAAACUGUUAUGCGUGUGACGGUAUCUAACCAGAAAGCCACGGCUAACUACGUGCCAGCAGCCGCGGUAAUACGUAGGUGGCAAGCGUUGUCCGGAUUUAUUGGGCGUAAAGCGAGCGCAGGCGGUCAAUUAAGUCUGAUGUGAAAGCCCCCGGCUCAACCGGGGAGGGUACUUGGAAGCGGGUUGACUUGAGUGCAGAAGAGGAGAGUGGAAUUCCAUGUGUAGCGGUGAAAUGCUUAGUUUUAUGGAGGAACACCAGUGGCGAAGACGACUCUCUGGUCUGUAACUGACGCUGAGGCUCGAAAGCGUGGGUAGCAAACAGG